rnacentral:rRNA from 1 species
GAUAAACGCUGGCGGCGUGCCUAAUGCAUGCAAGUCGAACGGGUCGCAGCUUCGGCUGUGGUCAGUGGCGGACGGGUGAGGAACACGUACGCAACCUGCCCUCUGGUGGGGAAUAACCCUUCGAAAGAGGGGCUAAUGCCGCAUCCGCUCACCUGGGUAAGGCUGGGUGAGGAAAGCCCGUGAGGGCGCUGGAGGAGGGGCGUGCGGCCGAUUAGCUAGUUGGUGGGGUAACGGCCNCCCAAGGCGGUGAUCGGUAGCUGGUCUGAGAGGAUGAUCAGCCACACUGGGACUGAGAGACGGCCCAGACUCCUACGGGAGGCAGCAGCAGGGGAUCUUGCGCAAUGGGCGAAAGCCUGACGCAGCAACGCCGCGU